AGUUAGCGGCGAACUGGUGAGUAACACGUAGGUAAUCUGCCGUGAAGUGGGGGAUAACCCAUGGAAACAUGGACUAAUACCGCAUAUACUCUUGCUACAUAAGUAGAGUAGAGGAAAGUUUUUUCGCUUCACGAUGAGCCUGCGGCCUAUUAGCCUGUUGGUAGGGUAAUGGCCUACCAAAGCUACGAUAGGUAGCCGACCUGAGAGGGUGACCGGCCACAUUGGGACUGAGAUACGGCCCAGACUCCUACGGGAGGCAGCAGCUGAGAAUCUUCCACAAUGGACGAAAGUCUGAUGGAGCGACAUCGCGUGAGGGAUGAAGGCCUUCGGGUUGUAAACCUCGGAAAUUAUCGAAGAAUGAGUGACAGUAGAUAAUGUAAGCCUCGGCUAACUACGUGCCCCAACCGCGGUAAUACG
rnacentral:rRNA from 1 species